rnacentral:rRNA from 1 species
AUUGAACGCUGGCGGCAUGCCUUACACAUGCAAGUCGAACGGCAGCACGGGAGCAAUCCUGGUGGCGAGUGGCGAACGGGUGAGUAAUACAUCGGAACGUGCCCAGUUGUGGGGGGUAGCCCGGCGAAAGCCGGAUUAAUACCGCAUACGACCUACGGGUGAAAGCGGGGGAUCGCAAGACCUCGCGCUAUUGGAGCGGCCGAUGUCGGAUUAGCUAGUUGGUGGGGUAAAAGCCUACCAAGGCUACGAUCCGUAGCUGGUCUGAGAGGACGACCAGCCACCCUGGGACUGAGACACGGCCCAGACUCCUACGGGAGGCAGCAGUGGGGAAUUUUGGACAAUGGGCGCAAGCCUGAUCCAGCCAUGCCGCGUGCGGGAAGAAGGCCUUCGGGUUGUAAACCGCUUUUGUCAGGGAAGAAACGGUUUGGGCUAAUACCCGAACUAAUGACGGUACCUGAAGAAUAAGCACCGGCUAACUACGUGCCAGCCGCCGCAGUAG